rnacentral:rRNA from 1 species
UAAACAACCUGCCUUCAGGAUGGGGACAACAGACGGAAACGACUGCUAAUACCGAAUAAGUUCCAAGAGCCGCAUGGCCCAUGGAAGAAAAGGUGGCCUCUACCUGUAAGCUAUCGCCUGAAGAGGGGUUUGCGUCUGAUUAGCUGGUUGGAGGGGUAACGGCCCACCAAGGCGACGAUCAGUAGCCGGUCUGAGAGGAUGAACGGCCACACUGGAACUGAGACACGGUCCAG